UACGUAGGGUGCAAGCGUUAAUCGGAAUUACUGGGCGUAAAGCGUGCGCAGGCGGUUAUGCAAGACAGAUGUGAAAUCCCCGGGCUUAACCUGGGAACCGCAUUUGUGACUGCAUAGCUGGAGUACGGCAGAGGGGGAUGGAAUUCCGCGUGUAGCAGUGAAAUGCGUAGAUAUGCGGAGGAACACCGAUAGCGAAGGCAGUCCCCUGGGCCUGUACUGACGCUCAUGCACGAAAGCGUGGGGAGCAAACAGG
rnacentral:rRNA from 1 species